rnacentral:lncRNA from 1 species
ACAUCAUUUCCUCAUUCACUUCGUGAUGCAGAUCUCCGACAUACAGUGAGGACAUUUCAAAGUGCGGAACCGAAGCACUCAUUUUAAGUUCGGUCUUGAGUGAAAUCUCAGCUAGGCGCUAGGACUUUGCCUCGGUUGGAGGCAGAGUCACAUCAAAAAAGGAAUGGCAGUCAGGAGGACUCUGCUUGGCCGCCUCUAUCGCAGAGGGAGCGCAGCCAGAGCGCGGCGGCUAACGCUCUGAAACUGAAACUGGGCGGUUCUGGCUGGCCGGAAGCAUUGCCUACAGAUACCCUUGGGGUCCCAUUGUGAUGGAGUUUAUGCUUGUCCGACAUUAGUUGCUUAGGCGGCAGGAACUGAAAGGAGGGGGAACAGCGGGCGGCUUUUGGUGGCUUGGUCGCUUCCGACAUCCCUGCAGGCUGCGUGAAGGUACGAAAUUAAGUUACCAGACAGGGAGAAAGCAGAGGCUUCAAGGGUCCUUUUGUCCUCCCCCCCCACCCGACUUCUCUUACUUUUUCUUAUCCCUAACUUCCCUCUCGCCUUCUCUGUUUCUCCUCUCUCUGCUUCUCCCCUCCUCUCCCGCCCUCUUGGCUUGUGUCUGUUUUCUCUUCAAGGAUUUUUGAGGGCGUGUUGGGAAAGGAGGAACUGUUAAAAGUCUCAGUUGGGACUCGCCACUCUAACAGCUUAGGUUUUAAGGUUUUUUUUUUUAAUUAAAAAUCUGUGUGUGUAACUGUAAUAAAAGAAAAUGCAAAGUUCACUGUUUGCUGUGAUAGCAUCGCUUUCUUUAGGCCUGUUACUGCCUACCUUUGGUAUUAGAAUUUUUAAUAAAUUCCCACACCCUUAAACCUUAGGUUUUCUUGCAUGUCUGAGGUAGGAGAAUUUUCACGGCUAAUAAAAUUUUCAAGAAUUGAACUAUCAGUAGAAAAAUAACGCAUUUAGAGCAAUGGCAAAGGAACACCCACACUGGUCUCUUGGAUUGACUGAUGGAUAUUUGAUGAUGUACUAUUACUUUUUUACAUAUAAAAAUUAGUAAGACAGAAUUGAGAUGAAUUCUCCAAGCUACUCAUUGACCAUCCUUUUUGGGGAUUUCCUGUACCAUAUGUGUCAAAGGAGAAUGGGUCUGGGACCUAACUUUAGAAAAUUAGCAAUAACUCCUUAAUCCCCUAAUAAUCCCCCAAGCUCUAAAAAGGAAUUAUAUUUUCUUCUGGUUGCUUCUGAAAAUAACCUCCAUGUAACAAGGUAGACGUUUUUGUCUCACGAUACAGCUCUUCCUGUAUUUUUAUUUGUCUUAUUCUAAAAGCUCCAUGUAAAAGAAUAUUUGCUGAUUAUGUAUCUGUAGGUCAGAGCAGUAAACUAAAGCAAACAUUGAGUGACUUGAGUAUAUCAAUUCAUUUAAUCUACACAACAACCUUAUGAAGUUCGUACUUUCAUUGCCAUUUUAUACAUGAAGAAACCGAGAUACAGGAAUGUUAGGUAAUUUGACCAUAUUGUACAUCUAGUAAGUGUUGAAGCUAGGCUUUGAAUCCAGGAAGUUUGACACUCAUACUCUGUUUCUAUCUCACAUUACUUUCUGUAAUAGGGAAAAAGUUUUGCUUUUCUCUUUAUGUGAUCUGUUGCUAUAGAUUUCACAUUAUUUAAACCUCUGUGGAACUUGAAACAAUUGUACUGUGAUACUGAAAGAAAUCUAAGAUUUUAAAAUAAUCUAGAGUUCAUUAACAACUUCUAAUGUACUUGGCACUGUCUAAAACGUUGAAACUGUUUUCAAAUAUAUCUCUUACAUACAGUUGAGCAGAUUAUUCACACUUAAAUUGUAGGAUAUUUGUUAAGAUCAGAUGUUUUCACAGCAGUUGUAUAGCUGCUGAGCUUUGAAAGAGUUUUUCAAACUCCCAAACACAUUGAAUACAUGUGGCAAGUUGUGGCAAGAUGAUUUAAGACCUUCUGUAUUUAGGCUAAAAAGGUACAGAUACUUCAUAUAUUUUAAUAUUAGAUUUAGCCCUAUUAUCUUUUUAAAAUUAAUAUUGUAUCAAAACGAAUUUAAAAUUUGAAAAAGUCUGCUUCAGAAGUUCCAUCAUGGCUCAGUGGUAAUGAAUCUGACUAAUAUCCAUGAGGACGAGAGUUCGAUUCCUGCCCUCUCUCAGUGUGUUAAGGAUCCGGCAUUGUCUUGAGCUGUGGUGUAGGUUGCAGAUGCGGCUCUGAUCUGGCGUUGCUGUGGCUGUGGUGUAGGCCAGCGGCUACAGCUCCAAUUUGACCCCUAGCCUGAGAACUUCCAUAUGCCCUGGUUGCGGCCCUAAAAAGACAAAAAAUCAAAACAAAACAAAACCCUACUUCAUAUUUAGUAAGCUCUCAUCCUUAGUCAUUUUCUAUGCCAAGAUAAUACCCUUGUUUGUAGUAGUUUGUACUGUGAUUAUCUAUGAAACUAUAUUAUUAAUAAGGUGUAAUGUAAUGAAAAAUGAACUUUGACCUAGUAACAUUGUUUAAUUUUCACUAAGAGUUGUAUAAAUGUAUAUAGGAAUAAUAGUAUUUAGUGCUACUAUCAUUUAGCAGAAAAUUUAAGCUAGUAUCCCCCAUAUGAUGUCACUUAUACCACUAAACAUUGACUAAGGUUUAGGAAUGCAGUGAGCAAAAAAAAAAAAAAUUCCAAAUUUUAAUAUGUUAGGGAUCAUUAACUUCAUUGUGUCAAUUUGUUAAAGUGCCAAGUAAUGAUUUUACAAAUAAUUACACUUUAGCAGGCAGAAACUAAUUUAUGUUCUUCUUGCUUUUAUAAUGCAUGUGAUGAUAGAUGCACUAUCACACAAGCUGUUGUUUUUAGGUACACAACAUCUCUUAAUGUCCUAAAGAAAAUGAAAUAUUACAUGUCAGUAACUGAUCAGUGACUGUAUAAAAUACAUUAGUGGUUUUUAUUCUUUUAGCUACUUUUAAUUGAUGCUCAUUCAUCAUUGCUUGGAAAGAUGGAAUGUUUUCAGGACAUUCUUGUUGGAAAAUGGCAGAGAUUUUUAAAGUCAGAAGUACAAGACAGUUGUUUCAGGUAAACAAAAUUGACAAACCCCUGGCCAGACUCAAUAAAAAGAGGAGAGAAAGAACCCAAAUAAACAAAAU